rnacentral:rRNA from 1 species
UACGUAGGGUGCGAGCGUUGUCCGGAAUUACUGGGCGUAAAGAGCUCGUAGGUGGUUUGUCGCGUUGUUCGUGAAAACUCACAGCUUAACUGUGGGCGUGCGGGCGAUACGGGCAGACUGGAGUACUGCAGGGGAGACUGGAAUUCCUGGUGUAGCGGUGAAAUGCGCAGAUAUCAGGAAGAACACCCGUGGCGAAGGCGGCUCUCUGGGGACGGUACUGACGCUGAGACGCGAAAGCGUGGGGAGCAAACAGG